GGCCACUCGGGGCCCGUAGUGGUUAGAGUGUCCGCCUCUGAUGCGGGAGGUCGUGGGUUCGAUACCCGGCCGAGUCA